rnacentral:rRNA from 1 species
GUGAAGCUGGAUUCGCCAGUAAUCGCGCAUCAGCCAUGGCGCGGUGAAUACGUUCCCGGGCCUUGUACACACCGCCCGUCAAGCCAUGGAAGCCGGGAGUGCCUGAAGUAUGCAACCGCAAGGAGCGUCCUAAGGUAAAACCGGUGACUGGGGCUAAGUCGUAACAAGGUAUC